GAUGAACGCUGGCGGCAGGCUUAACACAUGCAAGUCGAGCGGGGGAGGUUGCUUCGGUAACUGACCUAGCGGCGGACGGGUGAGUAAUGCUUAGGAAUCUGCCUAUCAGUGGGGGACAACAUUCCGAAAGGAAUGCUAAUACCGCAUACGCCCUACGGGGGAAAGCAGGGGAUCUUCGGACCUUGCGCUAAUAGAUGAGCCUAAGUCGGAUUAGCUAGUUGGUGGGGUAAAGGCCUACCAAGGCGACGAUCUGUAGCGGGUCUGAGAGGAUGAUCCGCCACACUGGGACUGAGACACGGCCCAGACUCCUACGGGAGGCAGCAGUGGGGAGUAUUGGACAAUGGGCGGAAGCCUGAUCCAGCCAUGCCGCGUGUGUGAAGAAGGCCUUUUGGUUGUAAAGCACUUUAAGCGAGGAGGAGGCUCUUAAGGUUAAUACCCUUGAUGAGUGGACGUUACCCGCAGAAUAAGCACCGGCUAACUCUGUGCCAGCCGCCGCGGUAAUAC
rnacentral:rRNA from 1 species